rnacentral:rRNA from 1 species
AGCGAACGCUGGCGGCAGGCCUAACACAUGCAAGUCGCACGAACCCUUCGGGGUUAGUGGCGGACGGGUGAGUAACACGUGGGAACGUGCCUUUAGGUUCGGAAUAACUCAGGGAAACUUGUGCUAAUACCGAAUGUGCCCUUCGGGGGAAAGAUUUAUCGCCUUUAGAGCGGCCCGCGUCUGAUUAGCUAGUUGGUAAGGUAAUGGCUCACCAAGGCUACGAUCAGUAGCUGGUCUGAGAGGAUGACCAGCCACAUUGGGACUGAGACACGGCCCAAACUCCUACGGGAGGCAGCAGUGGGGAAUCUUGCGCAAUGGGCGAAAGCCUGACGCAGCCAUGCCGCGUGGAUGAUGAAGGUCUUAGGAUUGUAAAAUCCUUUCACCGGUGAAGAUAAUGACUGUAGCCGGAGAAGAAGCCCCGGCUAACUUCGUGCCAGCCGCCGCAGUAACAC